CAGUAGCCGCGGGAAUACGGAGGGGGCUAGCGUUGUUCGGAAUUAUUGGGCGUAAAGCGCACGUAGGCGGCUUGGUAAGUUAGAGGUGAAAGCCUGGAGCUCAACUCCGGAAUUGCCUUUAAGACUGCCGAGCUAGUAGGUGAGAGAGGUAAGUGGAAUUCCGAGUGUAGAGGUGAAAUUCGUAGAUAUUCGGAAGAACACCAGUGGCGAAGGCGGCUUACUGGCUCAUUCUAGACGCUGAGGUGCGAAAGCGUGGGGAGCAAACAGGAUUAGAUACCCCCGUAGUCCCUGUCUCUUAUAA
rnacentral:rRNA from 1 species